rnacentral:lncRNA from 1 species
UCUUGCAUUAUUCUUCCAUUAUUCUUUCUCUUCAGCGUUUGAUUUCACUAAUUACUUUCUAUAUGCCAUUGCAGAUAUGUGGCAACUUUUUAUAUGUCAUUGUAAGUUUUUAUUAAGACAUCUCCUCUCUCUCUCCUAGAAAUUCCGCCCGACCUUCUUCCAUUGUAACAUCUCUUUUCAUCCGUUAUUUAAUAGGAGUAUUUCUUGUUUUCUCUUACUUUAAUUUAAGAAUUUUAUAUUAUGGUUUUGAAAAUUUAUUAUGUGCAUGUUGUAUUCUAUUUGUAGAUCAGACAAUUACUUUCUUCAUGUGUUGGUGUGAAGUCUUGCAGUCAAUUCAUAAUUUAUCCAGAAAAGACCCCCAAUAAAAUUCCCCAAUUCCAUCCAUCAAGACCCUAACUCGAAAAUUAUCUAAAUCUCCAUAUGUUAUCAGGUCAGUUGAUGUCUUCAUCAAUUCUUCUCCGGCACUCAGUUAUUUUUGGGAACAUUACUUGUGCUCAACUCUAAUUGUAGGAAAAAAAAAAUCAAUCUGAUUGAAAUCCUUUGUGACUUUCACCUGUUAUUUUUUGUGGAUGAAGUUAUGAAAUUCGGAAAAAGUUAAUAUUGAUGUAUAUUUUCCAACAAGUUAGAUGAGUUUUAUUAUAAUAGGUUUUAUCGUUUUCCUUAUUAUCAAUGUUAGUCAACUAUAUGUUGCAGAAAUAUAAACGAAGAAUUUAAAGAGCCAUUUUUUUAGCAGUCACUAAUUUGUCCAAAGAAUAGUUCCUUUUACCCAUUUGUAUUACUUUUAGUUCUCUAAUAUAACCACUACAUUAUUUACUUGCAAAAGAUUAAGUUCAUAUUUGAUAUGCUUAAGUUUUUCUGUUUUUACCUUUUCCUUUUGACUUCAAUAUUUUGAAGUUGAAUGAAGGAGUCAUUAGUUGUUAAUCCAUUUUCGUUAGACUGUUAUUACGACAUAUUAUUCUUCUACGGUUGUUAGAUCGGGGAAUUAUUACUAAUAAGAUUAUAAAACAACAGUGCAAUAAUAUAUUCUUAUUACUAAUGAACACCUUAACAGAAAAUAUUACUUGUUAUUUCCUUUUUAAUUUAUGUGUUUAUAUACCAUUUAGAACUUUAUUGUGCUUUGCCAUUAUGAGACAAGUAGUCUUGUGACUGUCAAUGAUACUCCAUGUAAUUGAGAUUAGUCAUUGGAGAUUGGAACUACUCAGAGCUGACUUGGUUUGUUGUUUCAAAAUCUUUUGGGUAGCUUAGAAGACAACAUUUGUGGCAGGGGCUCAACUGGAGCAAUGUCUUGUCAGAGUCGCGGGGAAGAAGCCUGCUAGAUUAUUGUGCUUCAAUUACUUUAUAAAGCCAAGACAGUUAUCUAUUUUGGUAUGUUCCUUUAUUUCAUGUUCUUUUGGUAAAUAACUCCCAAUUUUUAAUUUAGUUGAAUUUUAGAACGCUGUCAGAACUGUUGAAAUUACUAACAUUGAUUCAUGCAAGUCUGCUCCUUUUUUAUCUCCAACAGUGUAAACCAGUUAGCGGUCAUAAGCUUUAUAACUACCAACCGCUAUUUUGAGCUGCAAUUCUUGAUUUUAAUCAAUUUAAGGUGAUUAGUUCCACCAAGACAAAACAGAAAAUAAUUCGAUUGCUUGUUCGCCUUUUUGGCUUACGCGGCAAGCUGAUUUUUGCGCUCUUUGUGUUGGCUUUGCUGGACCUAAAAUUUUCAUAUUAGCUCAACUUCGUCCACCUUGAUUGCUGGGUUCUUAAAAAUAUUGAAGUGUUAUACUGAGAGAAUUCGAAAGCAAUUGUAUCGAUGUAGAAAAGUUAAAAAUGUACAAAUGGAAUUAACACAUCUGUAUUUACCGAUGUUCUGUACAUAACUUUAAACUCAUUUGUAAAAAAAACCACUAAUAGCAAAAGAAGAAAACUAUUACUGAUUUUCUGAGAUUGGUAUUAGUGAAGAGAUAGCCUCUCUACUCUCCGGGGUAGGGGUAAUGUUUGCGUACACUCUACCCUCCCCAGACCCCAUUCGUGGGAACUCACUGGGUUGUCGGUGUUGUUGCUAUGCUUUUAGCUCGAUAACUCUGUUAUGGUACUUCCUUGGUAAUAGAAUUUUAUAAGCUUGAACUUCUUUUGGUUUCUUAAACACUGAUAAUAUAAUUUGAUCAAACUUCUCAGCUUUCUUCUCUAUCUAAAGUGUUCUAUUGUAAGCAUUGGUGUUUUUAAUAUUUAUUUCUUGCUAAGCUCUCCAUCAAAAUAUUGAUGGUUCAUCUUUGUUCCUUUUCUUUGCUCAUGUCAUACUUCAAAAUUCAGUGGUUCAAGGCUUCCUCAAGAAAACAGAAUGAUAUAAACAAUAAAAAAAGCGGCUUACUAUAGUGUGAAACAACCUAAAAAGGUAUUACCUUAAUCUUAACUUGUGUCAAAUAUUUCAGUACAUAGCUAUUUAUUAGACAUGUUGACCAUGCCAUGCUACUCUCUUAUGUAUAGUUCUUCAUUGAACACACAUGGAUUUUUCAUAAGAAGGUUUGGAGCCUCCCUUCUGACAAGCUGUCAUUAAUUUCUUCUAUCCGUAAUUGUAUCCAUUUCUCAAGCAUUAGCCUAGAUAGAGAUGAGACCUUUUUGAGUUGCUGACUUGACCUGUCUAUGAUUUUUGCUACUGUAGAGAACUUUCCUGGAAUCAAAAUUUGUUAUGUGACAAAAAUUUAAUUUACCAUGUAGUUUAUCCUUUACUUGACAGGUAACUUCGUUUCUCACAAGACAAGGAGAAAUUGUUGACACAGAAGGAUAGCAAACUACGCUAUGCUUGGCGGGAAACUCGCGAGAACAAGUGCCCCUUUGUCAUUUUUUGGUCAUUUUUGUACUUCAUUAUUGUAGGAAUUAUCAAAUGAUAACUUUAUACAUCAAGACAAGAUAUAGAUUUAAAUGUAAACACUUGUUCCAAGUCGUAAACUUGCAUUUUCACAGGUAUUGAUCCUUGGAACGAUGCAUCUGUUG